rnacentral:rRNA from 1 species
UACGUAGGGCGCAAGCGUUGUCCGGAAUUAUUGGGCGUAAAGAGCUCGUAGGCGGCCUGUUGCGUCCGCUGUGAAAUCCCGGGGCUUAACCCCGGGCUUGCAGUGGAUACGGGCAGGCUGGAGGCAGGCAGGGGAGAACGGAAUUCCCGGUGUAGCGGUGAAAUGCGCAGAUAUCAGGAGGAACACCGGUGGCGAAGGCGGUUCUCUGGGCAUUACCUGACGCUGAGGAGCGAAAGUGUGGGGAGCGAACAGG